rnacentral:lncRNA from 1 species
CCGUCUUUUACAGGGAAGGGCAUGGACUUUCUUCUCUCCUCCUUCCACUCUGCUGUUGCAAAUUUGGAUAUGAUGCCCGGAGCUCAGGCGGCCGUUGUGGACCAUAAGGAGGAAGGCCUUACCGGGGAGGCUGAAUGGAGCCUGCACCCCAUCAGCUUCACAGAAACACCACCCGCUCUGGGCUCUCUCAUGUGCUAAAGAAUUCACGAUUGUGGGCUGAAGCUGCCACUCGUGAUGUUUGUUCUGUUUUUGGUUCCUAUGCAGAGGGACCUAAUCCCAGGGAAGCCUUCUAUCUCUUUAAGUGAAUUCAGCCUCAACCAAAGUCUUUUGGGGAUAUUUCCUACAGUGUGGCCUUGGACAUGAGUGGCAUUUCUCUCCCUGCGUCCUCCCGAUGUCCUGGUGUUGUGUUUGGUCGCGGGUCCUCAACCUUGAUUCCUGGCUGCCCGGGUGACGCACGAGACCCCUCGGUGCCUCCCACUUCCCAGGAGUUAGAUUUACGUCCAGAGCGGCCGUUGGGGUCUGUGGCGCUGGACGGCGCGUGGGUCUGGCGUGGGUCUGCAGCACGGCGGGAUGACUGCAAACCGUCAGCGUGGCGUGAUUUACUCCGUCCUGACAAACUGGCGUUUACACAGAUGUCAGGGAGGGGAAGGCGCCCGGGAGGAGCACAUUAGUGUAAGUUAUUGCAGCUGAAAGGAGGGAGCAUCGUAAAGCCCAGAGAGCAAGCAGCGAGUAUUUACGGCCCAGUGGCUGGGCCUUCGUCUCCUGGCUGCCCCCCUGUGUGGGGUGGGCGCAGCCUCUUCCCGGGAACUGCUGGCUCUAAGAGGCUCAGGCCAGAGCUGGCUGCUCGCUGGGAACCGUGGCCUUACCCUGGUGGACCAGGGAGGUGGCCGGUGGCCCAGGCUCCAGUCAUGAGGACCUCCGCGGUGGGCUGCUGGCCUCCUGCUUCCUGGCCAGGCAAGACUGUUGCGCCCAUCACGUGGACGGCGAGACGGAGCCUGAGGGAGCACAGCGAGGAGAGGUGCCGUCCUCUGACCCCUGCUGGGCCAGGCAGCACGUGACGAUCUGUCCUGGAGAGAGCAAGUCCCCUCCUCUGUGGGCAGAGGUGACGGUGGGACAUGUGGGUGUCGUCUGUGGCUGAGUGGGGUAAGGGCCAGAUGAGGGUGCACUUCCUGGGCCUCACCCUGGGCCUGGGCAGCAGGGGCCCCAGAAACACUAACAGACAAAUGAGUAAAUAUCUCAC